rnacentral:lncRNA from 10 species
UAAAGCUCACACUUGACAAAUUGUGCUUGACCAAUUAAAUGUCUUAAUUUAGCUUAUAGAAAUAAUGGAUUUUUACAAUAGCUACCAGAUGACCCUACACACACACACGUGCACAAAUACACAUACCUACAAAUGUUUACAUGUGCAACACCUCACACAAACCCACACGAAGCAGAUGUGUGUGCCUGAACCCAGCUCAGCCAAAGUGCAUCCAUCAGCUGCCGCACGCCUUCACUGUGCUGGUCCUGGAGACUAAGCAGAGAGGCCUGGGCCCCAGGCAGCCCAUCUCUGGAAAACCAGUUGCUUGCCUAGGAAGCUGACACAGGCAGAACAUGGUAUGUUAGGACAAGGAUGGUGUUUGUGUCCUUCCCCUGCAGCGGGAAAGGAGUUUGAGUAACAUAAGAAACAGACGUGCUGGAGGCAUUUCCCCACACCUGAGAUGUGUCUCACAGAUCCUAAACUCCAGAGACUGGGGAGCCACCAUGGACUGGAAGACCCCCAAGAGGAAUAACGCAGGCCCUGUGGGACCCUGGGCAUGAGAACGGAUGUCACUGGACCCACAGCCACAUUAGGAUGAAUCCCAUAGACAUUCAAGAGGAAGGGCCGGGCCAGGGCAGUUCCUGGGCAGUUCCUGGAGUGGCCACUGCACAUCUACGGAGAGGGAGAAAAGGAAGGGAGAGCCGACCCUCAAGACAAGGAGCUUCUCGGGAAAUGAAAUAGAGACUCUGGAAGAGGGAAAGAGGGAAAGAGCAUCAGAGCUUCCCGAGGAGGCUGGGCUUGAUGUCCUUCCCUCACCUCUCUAGCCCACACCCAGGCCUUGUGGGACCCCAUCUCCCAUCUAGCAGGGAGGUGUGGACCGAGCAGGAGAGCAGAGCACAGAGCCAGGCUAGCCCUUCACCCAGGAUCUUUGAGAAUUUGGCACAAGGGCCCCUCUAUUUGGUCUCAGAGCCUGUCCCUGAAUAUCAGAGCAUCUCUCUUUUUUGAUGUUCAAAGGCACAAUUCUGACACUUGGUUUCUGAUGUGAAAACAUCCCACUCUACAGACCGGCUCUGCAUUUGAUGUCAGACCUUGCAGGGCUCAGGACGUGGUAUGUGCAACUGCAGAGGUGCCAGCUGUAAAGUCUCACCCUUGGCCACUUCUCUCUUCUCUGAUGACAGCCAUCUGGCACUGCGCACUUACAAAGGGAAGGACAGGGCUGACCCACAAGACUUCUGAGUUGCUGAAAUCAUGGCGAAUCCAAUCCUCCACCCUGAACUCAGCCCUUUCAUCUGUCUCUUGGAUAUGCAUCGUGGCCCUAAUCAAUGUAAAUCAGUCUGGGCAUGACUUUCUGGCUGCUCAUUGGAAUCAUGAUUGAUUAUAUUUUUUCAAUAACUCAUCAAAGGACCUUAGGUUUUAAUCAAAGACUUCAGAAUCUUCUGUGGGGCCAAGUUAAAUUAUUGCCAGCCUGGAGGGAAGUCUCCAGUGGCAUACCACAGGGCUCUGUCACGUCAAAUACUUCUAGAAUUUAGAUAAAGACAUCAGUGCAUAAAUAUUGCAUCUACUGAUUACCCAAAGCUGAGCAGAACAGGUAGAUACAACAGAUGGCGGAAUCGAGGUCAUCAUGGUCACCUCAAGGGGAGGGAUUAAUGCCCCAACAUCAGUGAGCUCUGGCUCAACCCACAUAACUGUAAAACCUCAUGUAUAGAAAUUGAUUGCACUUGGCCAAAGAUCUUUUUCAGGGUGACAGAUUCUUCCAGAAGGAUGGUGUAGCUGUGACAAAAGUGAAUACACAGUUGCCUACAUGGGUGGACACACGGGACCCCACGGCACCAGGCCAGAGACAGUCCAGAUGAGGUGGCUGGCACAUCCUGGGGGCAUGUGGGAGCCACCAAAGGACACAGAGCUGUGAAUCCUGGAGAAGGCUUGGGAGGAUGUAGCAUGAUCUUGGGACUCAGGGGCUAGAAUUGCUUCUGGGCCCUCCCAGGAGGUGUGGGCAGAAGCAUCCCCUGCAAGGGAGGAAGAUCUCUCUUCAAUUACAGACUCGGUCACUACCAGACUUGGGAAUUAUCCAUCAGUAAAAACAUUCACGUUCCAUCAACCAAGUAAAUUGCAAAAGAGCUGUUUUAGCUUUUAUACUUCCAAAGCCCUAGAACUUUUUGUUCAAAUUAAAUCUUAUCUAGAAGCCGGCUAAGGUUUAUAAACCAGAUAAGAGUGGAGUUAUUCUUCUUGAAAUGGCAGUGGGGGCCUAGAAGCCCUGUGCGUGGGUGCCCCCACCUGUGACUUCCCUAAAAUCUCACGGGGAGCACAGCCUGAAAGCCACUGUGACAGAAGGGCCCUGACCCCGGUGAGGGCUUGCUCCUUAUUUCUCUCAGGUGAACUCAAUGUGUCUAUAAUCUAAAGCUGCCAUGUAUGAUGGGGACACAUCAGAUGAUGCCCAAAGGCCUCGGGAGAGAGAGCCGACCUGGCAGGGAGACCAGGAUAGCACAAAGGAGCUCUUACCAAGACCUGGGAAGAGCCCACGAUGCUCUAAUAACCUCCUGACAGAUCUUGUAAGGAAGUUUAGACUUAAAUGCAUGAUGCAGAAUUGCUGUCAUUCUGCCCCGUGACGCCUCCUCUACCCUUUGGGCAGUGGACACCUCACACAGGAGCUCUCACCAUCUUCGGCCCCAGCUGCCUAAAAUCUCCUGCUUCCUUCUGUUUAGUUUCUGUUAAUUCAUUCAAUAAACACUCACUGGCCAGGUGCAUGCUUGGCCCUGGGAUACAGCAGUGAACAAGGCAGAUAAGGUCCUGCCCUCUUGGGGCUCACACUCUAGAGACCACCCUCACAGACACAAAUAGACACGUCAGGUGAUGACCAAAGGCCUCAGGACAGAGAGCUGACCUGAGAGGGAGGACAGGAUAGCACAAAGGAGCUCUAAAACAGAAAGGGAGGAAGGGAGGAAAGAGGGAGGGAGGGUAAGCAAGCAUUUGAAAAAUCCAUAUACCAAUGUAUACCCACACAAGAGCUACUGCCAACACAGCCCGUGGAGGGCACUUGCCCUGCUGCUGGAUGGAGGAACAGGCUGCGCUCACUGCUGACCUGGGGAUCCCAUGAGGAACAGCAGGACGUCUGUUUAUCUUUUUUGUUAGUGUGCUCUCUGUGUAUCUUUAAAAGAAGUACUAGACACGCUUUGUUUCUGUUAGAAAACACGAUUAAGUUUCAUUUGUCUCUGCUAGUCAAGAACACAAGAACAUCUAUCUUCUGGCAGAAAUGUUGGUGUGGAAUGCCCCAGGCCAUAUUGACAGAACCACGGGCCUGAGGAGGAGGCUGCGGAUGGGUAAAGGUUCAAUAUCAUGGGUGUUAUUCCCAUAAUAUUCUAACAAUAUUAUCCACUCAAUGUCAUGUCAACUUUUAACAGAAUAAACUUAAAAGCUUUAAAAGAAAAAAUUAGCUGUUAGCGAAUACAAACAGCUAAGGAUGAGAGUGACAGCACUGUGAACCCACUUAACCCAUGUCAAGCGUAAUUUCUAACAGAAAAGCAGCCUUUACUAUGAUUGAGUUAGAUAAUUGAAAAGGUCCUGGGGGGUACUUUCAAGAUUUCUCCAGCUCCUGAUAUUCCUGAACUCCCACAGUUCAAAUUUAUUUGUCUUGAAGAUUUUUCACUCUUUAAGCCUGUCUUUGUAAAGCUACUUGUCUCCCGCCAUGUGGAGUGGCCCCUAGCACUGAAACUCACACUGCCUGGAGGGGAAACUGGGAAUGGGCAGUCAGUGAGGCCAGACCGGGAGGAGCCCAGGGCAGCGCUGCACAGUGCCAGAAGCGGGUGAGCGGCCUCAUACCCUCUCCUUCUGUCGCCCAGCCUCAGGGACAGUACUAGCUGCUUCCAGAUGUCCAAAAGGCAUUCCCCUCAGCUCACUUCUGCCUGGAGACCUCAUUUCUGUGGACGAGCCUCUGCCAGUGUGUAAGACUGUCAGAGCCAAGCUAUGAUGAUAAACACCUACACUGUUUCCUCAGAAAGACCUAGAAAUGCCUGGUUUUCUCAGCCUGGUAUGGAGACAGGUGAGGUGCAAUUCUCAUCUAGCUCUGCCACUGCCGUCUCAAGUCCUUAGGGCGCUCGGCCUCAGUUCCCUAACCCAUCCACCUGCAUCCUAGUAGUUCUAGGAUCCACCUGUUCUAGUAGGAUCACAGGCAUUAGAGCAAUCUGAAAAUUACAAAACUCUUUAUAAGCAACUAAGAGCUGGGAGGACAACAGAAUAAGCAAUAUUUAUAUUUCAGCCAAUGCUAUUGAAAUGUUUAGGAACGGCUGGACACCGUGGCUCACACCUGUAAUCCCAGCACUUUGGGAGGCCGAGGUGAGUGGAUCACUUGAGGUUAGGAGUUCGAGACCAGCCUGGCCAACACAGAGAAACCCCGUCUCUACUAAAAACACAAAAAUUAGCUGGGCGUGAUGGCACUGGCCUUUAAUCCCAGCUAUUCAGGAGGCUGAGGUGGGAGAAUCGCUUGAACCUGGGAGGCGGAGGUUGCAGUGAGCUGAGAUUGUGCCACUGUACUCCACAGAGUGAAACUCAGUCUCAAAAAAAAAAAAAAAGUUUGGGAGUGAAAGUUGUUUUGUUUUGUUUUGUUUUGUUUUAAGUAUUGCUAUCACAUCACUGAAUGGUUUGUUUCUUACCUGACUAGAGCUGGGUAAUUUGGGAGAGUGGUGGUGGACAUAACCCUGAGAAGGCCCCCUCCCCUCCAGCACUGCUUGUGAGUGCAGGACAUCUGCAGGACUCUGGACUCACUCAGCAAGCCCAUUUGGCUCUCAACUCACUCAGCCUCUAUCAGUGAUCGAGUUGACACUUCACCUCCAGGUGCACUGUUUAAUUUCUUUCAGAACCCAGAUGAGGAAGAUGGAGGCUAUUAGGCCCCUGGAAAAUUCUACCACUUAGGGCACUGGUCAGAAGCGUGGAGAGAGAAUGCAAACAAUGGACGAUGCAGACCAAAAGGAACUACCUAGUGUGUGGACCUCAGUAUGCUGGCAUUUUCUUCUCCCUUUAUCCCUCCUUUAUUUCUAAACAUUUUGUUGAAGUAUAACGUGGCAGAAAAGUGCACAUGUACAUGGCCAGCUUGAUGAAUCUUCACAGAACCGUCACCAACACCAAGACCUAAAAAUGCACCAGCCCCCAGAGCCCUCCCAACUCCCUCCCAGUCACUAUGCCUCCCAUGGAAUGCACAUUCCUCAGACUUCCGGCUUCACACAUUUGACACGGGUAGGGCUGUAGCUUGGUGUCCUGUGACUGUACUAGGCCAAGUGGGCUGUUUUGAGUUGUGUAGUUGGCUUCCAACUUCUGGACUUGGGCUAGAAAACUUAGGGUUCAGGGCACAAGCUGCUUUAACUUUGUGGGUGAUGCUACCUGUAGGGGCUGUCUCCACAGGUGUGUUUCUGCACAGCCAGGAAUGUAAGAAAAGUCUGGCCCUUAUGUGAUGCUGCUUGGGCCUCAGCAAAGGCACAAGGGCAUUUGCAUGAGCCCAAGAGAGAGUGGACCUUGAAAGUGGACCUUGACCUUGAACCACAAUUAGCAUAGGUAUGUGGCAGCAGGAGCCUGAGUACACACAAGUAAAUGUCAGUGCAGCUGUCAAGGCAGAAGACAGUGGGUGCAACGGAGCCAAGAGCCAAGGACGCAAUUUAGGGAGAAGAGAGUCUUUGCACUGGGAAUAGAACAGAAUUUGGGGCUUUUAAACCUGGCAGCUUCCAUGUGGUGUUGAACUUGCAAGUGCACAGAAGUCAAGAAUUGAGGUUUGGGAACCUCUGCCUAGAUUUCAGAUGUAUGGAAAUACUUGGAUGUCCAGGCAGAAGUUGCUGCAGUGGGUGGGGGUGGGGGGGGGGUCUCUCAUGGAGAACCUCUGCUAGGGCAGUGUGGAAGAGAAAUGUGGGGUCAGAGCCAAACAGAGUCCCUACUGGGGCACUGCCUAGUGGAGCUGUGAGAAAAGGACCACCAUCCUCCAGACCCCAGAAUGGUAGAUCCACUAACAGCUUGCACCAUGUGCCUGGAAAAGCUGCAGACACUCAAUGCCAGCCCAUGAAAGCAGCCACGAGGGAGGAUAUACCUUGCAAAGCCACAAGGGCAGAGCUGCCCAAGACCAUGGGAACCCACCUCUUGCAUCACAUGACCUGGAGGUGAGACAUGAAGUCAAAGGAGAUCGUUUUGGAGCUUUAAGAUUUGACUGCCCUACUGGAUUUCAGACUUGCAUGGAGGCCUGUAGCCCCUUUCUUUUGGCCAAUUUUCUCGCAUUUGGAAUGGCUGUAUUUACCCAAUACCUGUACCCCCGCUAUAUCUAGGAAGUAAGUAACCUGCUUUUGAUUUUACAGGCUCAUAGGUGGAAGGGACUUGCCUUGUCUCAGAUGAGACUUCAGACUGUGGACUUUUGAGUUAAUGCUGAAAUGAGUUAAGACUUUGGGGCUGUUGGGAAGGCAUGAUUGGUUUUGAAAUGUGAGGAUGUGAGAUUUGGGAGGGGCCAGGGAUGGAAUGAUAUGGUUUGGCUGUGUCCCCACUGGAAGCUCAUCUUGAAUUCCUACGUAUUGUGGGAGGAAACAGUGGGAGGUAAUUGAAUCAUGGGGACGUCUUUCCUGUGCUGUUCUCAUGAUAGUAAAUAAGUGUCACGAGAUCUGAUGGCUUUAAAAAGAGGAGUUCCCCUGCACAAGCUCUCUCUUUGCCUGCUGUCAUCCAUGUAAGAUGUGACUUGCUCUUCCUUGCCUUCCACCAUGAUUGUGAGGCUUCCCCAGCCACAUGGAACUGUAAGCCCAAUUAAACCUUUCUUUUGUAAAUUGCCCAGUCUCGGGUAUGUCCUUAUCAGCAGCGUGAAAACAGACUAAUACACUUGCACUGGCUACAACUUCCAGUAAAAUGCUGAAUGUAAGGGGAUAACUCUGGCCAUCCUUGCCUUGUUCCCAAAGAAGAAGGUUUUCAAUAUUUCACCAUUAAGUAUGAUGCUUGCUAUUGGGUUUGGGGGUAGAUAUCCUUUAUCAAAAUCAGAAAGUCUCCUUCUAGCCAGUGUUAUAAGAGAUUUUUCUUGUCAAUUUUCUAAGUCUUAAAAUGAUGCUUUUAUUAAUAUUUUCUGUAUCUAUGGGGAUGACGAUGAUUUUCCCUUAAUGUUUGUAGUAUGAAUUACAUUAAUUUCCUAAUAUUAAAACCACCUAGCAUUUCUGGAAUAAACCAACAUGGACAUGAGGUACUAUCCUUUUUAUAUAUUCUUGGGUUCCUUUCAUUAGCAUUUUGUUUAGGAUUUUUGCAUUUCUGAUGAGUGAGACCAGACUAUAAAUACCCUUUCUCAAAUGUCCUUACCAGGCUUUGAAAUGAAAAGUCAUACUGGUCUUAUGAGUUUG